ensembl:snoRNA
AGUCCCAUUUCACUACCACAUUUUUAACCAAAUAGUAGUUUUCAGUGGCAAUGCUUGUGGGAUGGACUAAAGAUGCCAUAAUCUGAAGAGGGAAGGCUUUUCAGUGCCUUCUUUCCAUAUGAGAUGGCUGAAAACAAAACA